AGUGAACGCUGGCGGUAGGCCUAACACAUGCAAGUCGAACGGCAGCACAGUAAGAGCUUGCUCUUACGGGUGGCGAGUGACGGACGGGUGAGGAAUACAUCGGAAUCUACUUUUUCGUGGGGGAUAACGUAGGGAAACUUACGCUAAUACCGCAUACGACCUACGGGUGAAAGCAGGGGAUCUUCGGACCUUGCGCGAUUGAAUGAGCCGAUGUCGGAUUAGCUAGUUGGCGGGGUAAAGGCCCACCAAGGCUACGAUCCGUAGCUGGUCUGAGAGGAUGAUCAGACAAACUGGAACUGAGACAAGGUCCAGACUCCUACGGGAGGCAGCAGUGGGGAAUAUUGGACAAUGGGCGCAAGCCUGAUCCAGACAUACCGCGUGGGUGAAGAAGGCCUUCGGGUUGUAAAGCCCAUUUGUUGGGAAAGAAAAGCAGCAGGUUAAUACCCCGCUGUUCUGACGGUACCCAAAGAAUAAGCACCGGCUAACUUCGUG
rnacentral:rRNA from 1 species